GUAGGGGGCAAGCGUUGUCCGGAUUUAUUGGGCGUAAAGAGCGUGUAGGCGGCUUCACAGGUCCGCUGUGAAAACUCGAGGCUCAACCUCGAGCUGUCGGUGGAAACCGUGUGGCUAGAGUCCGGAAGAGGAGAGUGGAAUUCCCGGUGUAGCGGUGAAAUGCGCAGAUAUCGGGAAGAACACCCGUGGCUAAGGCGGCUCUCUAGUACGGUACUGACGCUGAGACGCGAAAGCGUGGGGAGCGAACAGGAUUAGAUACCCUGGUAGUCCACGCUGUAAACGAUGGGUGCUAGGUGUGGGAGGUGUCGACUCCUCCCGUGCCGAAGCUAACGCAUUAAGCACCCCGCCUGGGGAGUACGGCCGCAAGGCUA
rnacentral:rRNA from 1 species